rnacentral:rRNA from 1 species
GCCGAUUUGUAAGUGUUGUAGCAAUAUGACACCAAGAGUGGCGUAAGGGUGCGUAAUUGAGAUUAUGCAAUCUGCCCGCAACAGGAGGAUAGCUCCCCGAAAGGGGAAUUAAUACUCCAUAAUACCAUUAGAGGGCAUCUGAUGAUGGUUAAACUACAAGGGGUUGCGGAUGGGCAUGCGGUUGAUUAGCUAGUUGGUAGUGUAUUUGACUACCAAGGCAAUGAUCAAUAGGGGAACUGAGAGGCUCAUCCCCCACACUGGCACUGAGAUUUUGGCCAGACUCCUUUUGGAGGCAGCAGUAGGGAAUAUUGGACAAUGGGCGAGAGCCUGAUCCAGCCAUGCCGCGUGCAGGAAGAAGGCCUUCUGGGUUGUAAACUGCCUCUGCCAGGGGAUAAAAAGUCCCUGCGGGGAAAAUUGAAGGUACCUGGUGAAUAAGCCUUUGCUAAUUGAGAUUUGCCAGCAGCCGCGGUAAUUUUUAGGUGGCAAGCGUUGUCCGGACUCAUUGGGCUCAAAGGGUGCGUAGGUUUUCCGCUGUAAGUCAGUGGUGAAAUUUUGCAGCUCAACUGUCGAGGUGCCAUUGAUACUGCGGGGCUUGAGUACAGUUUAGGUAGGCGGAAUUGUUUGUGUAGCGGUGAAAUGCUUAGAUAUCGUCAAGAACACCGAUAGCGAAGGCAGCUUACUAGACUGUAACUGUUUCUGAGGCUUUAAAGUGUGGGGAUCAAACAGGAUUAGAUACCCUGGUAGUCCACACUGUAAU